rnacentral:rRNA from 1 species
CCCAGCUUUCUUGUAACAAAGUGGUUCAUGGUUGUAACGGGUAACGGGGAAUCAGGGUUCGAUUCCGGAGAGGGAGCCUGAGAAACGGCUACCACAUCCAAGGAAGGCAGCAGGCGCGCAAAUUACCCACUCCCGGCACGGGGAGGUAGUGACGAAAAAUAACGAUACGGAACUCAUACGAGGCUCCGUAAUCGGAAUGAGUACACUUUAAAUCCUUUAACGAGGAUCUAUUGGAGGGCAAGUCUGGUGCCAGCAGCCGCGGUAAUUCCAGCUCCAAUAGCGUAUAUUAAAGUUGUUGCGGUUAAAAAGCUCGUAGUUGGAUCUCGGUUUCACUCAGGCGGUACACCUUGCGGUGUUCACUGUCUGGGCGGACGUUUCUGUUGGUUCGCUGUUGGUUCUCUUAAUCGAGUGCCAAUUGGUGGCCAGCACGUUUACUUUGAAAAGAUUGGAGUGCUCAAAGCAGGCGUUACAGCCUGAACAUUAGUGCAUGGAAUAAUGGAAUAGGAUCUCGAUUCUAUUUCGUUGGCUUUCGGAGUCGAGGUAAUGAUUAAUAGGGACAGACGGGGGCAUUCGUACUGCGACGUUAGAGGUGAAAUUCUUGGAUCGUCGCAAGACGAACUACUGCGAAAGCAUUUGCCAAGAAUGUUUUCAUUAAUCAAGAACGAAAGUUAGAGGUUCGAAGGCGAUCAGAUACCGCCCUAGUUCUAACCAUAAACGAUGCCAACCGGCGAUCCGUCGUCGUUAAUUGAAUGACUCGACGGGCAGCCUCCGGGAAACCAGAGUGUUUGGGUUCCGGGGGAAGUAUGGUUGCAAAGCUGAAACUUAAAGGAAUUGACGGAAGGGCACCACCAGGAGUGGAGCCUGCGGCUUAAUUUGACCCAACACGGGAAAUCUCACCAGGCCCGGACACCGGAAGGAUUGACAGAUUGAGAGCUCUUUCUUGAUUCGGUGGGUGGUGGUGCAUGGCCGUUCUUAGUUGGUGGAGCGAUUUGUCUGGUUAAUUCCGAUAACGAUCGAGACUCUGGCCUACUAACUAGAAGGGUCGUUCUUUACGAGCGGCCCUCUGCUUCUUAGAGGGACGGGCGGCGUUUAGCCGCACGAGAAUGAGCAAUAACAGGUCUGUGAUGCCCUUAGAUGUUCUGGGCUGCACGCGCGCUACACUGAAGGAAUCAGCAUGUUCUCCCCUCCCUGAAAAGGGCGGGUAAUCCGUUGAAACUCCUUCGUGAUGGGGAUUGGAGAUUGUAAUUAUUCUCCAUGAACGAGGAAUU